rnacentral:rRNA from 1 species
AUGGGUUCUCUCAACGAAAUCGCCGUUGCUGCGGGGAUAAACAUAUCAUCAGCAUUGGGUUUUCUUCUAGCGUUUGCAAUUCUGCGGAUACAACCUAUUAAUGAUCGGGUAUACUUUCCAAAAUGGUACCUCAAAGGGACAAGGAGCAGCCCGAGGCACCUCGGGGCUGGCUUCUCCAAAUUCGUGAAUGCCGAUCUGUCGACGUAUCUGCGGUUUCUGAAUUGGAUGCCCGCAGCGCUACAAAUGCCAGAACCAGAGCUAAUUGAGCAUGCAGGACUAGACGCCGCAGUAUAUGUCCGCAUCUACCUUCUUGGUUUAAAAAUAUUUGUGCCAAUUGCUUUGCUGGCAUUCAUUGUCCUAGUACCUGUUAAUUGGAGUAGUGGAACUUUGGAACAUGAAAAGGAUCUGAAUUAUGAUGAAAUUGACAAGCUCUCGAUAUCGAAUCUGGGAAAAGGUUCAAAACGGUUUUGGAUACAUAUAGCAAUGGCCUAUGUGUUUACCUUUUGGACAUUUUACGUGUUGUUUCAUGAAUAUAAGGUUAUAACAACUAUGAGAUUGCGCUUUCUUGCUAAUCAGAGUCGUCGGCCUGAUCAAUUCACGGUACUUGUGAGAAAUGUACCACCGGACCCAGAUGAAACAGUUAGUGAACAUGUUGAGCACUUCUUUGCUGUGAAUCAUCGAGAUCAUUACCUCAGUCAUCAGAUUGUAUACAAUGCAAACGCCCUUGUCGGUUUGGUUGAGAAGAAGAAAGGCUUGAAGAACUGGCUGGUCUACUACGAAAAUCAGCAUGCUCAUAAUCCUGCAAAGAAGCCAACUAUGAAGACAGGACUGUGGGGUCUUUGGGGGCGAAAGGUGGAUGCUAUAGAAUACUAUAAGGCAGAAAUUGCGGAGCUAUGUAAACAGGAAGACGUGGAGAGACAAAAGGUGAUGAGUGACCCUAAUGCUAUUAUGCCGGCGGCAUUUGUUUCUUUCAAAAGUCAGUGGGGGGCUGCUGUUUGUGCUCAAACACAGCAGACAAGUAAUCCGACAGUGUGGCUAACCGAGUGGGCUCCGGAACCUCGUGAUGUUUACUGGCCUAAUCUCGCAAUCCCUUUUGUUGAGCUCUCGGUUAGGAGGCUUAUCAUUGCCGUUGCGCUGUUCUUCCUCACUUUUUUCUUCAUGAUACCAAUUGCAUUUGUCCAAUCCUUGGCAAAUCUAGAUGAGAUUGAGCGGCUGCUUCCUUUCUUGAAACCCAUAAUAGAAAGAAAUUCUUUGAAGUCAGUUAUACAAGGUUUCUUGCCAGGGAUUGCACUAAAAGUCUUCCUUAUACUUCUCCCGAUGUUUCUAAUGACCAUGAGCAAGAUGGAAGGUCAUAUAUCAAUCUCUGGAUUGGACAGGAGGACCGCAUCAACAUACUUCAUGUUCCUUUUUGUCAAUGUAUUCUUGGGGAGUGUAAUAACUGGAACAGCAUUCCAACAGCUCGACACUUUUAUCCAUCAGCCAGCUAACAAAAUUCCAGAGACUGUUGGAGAAUCAAUUCCCAUGAAAGCAACAUUUUUCAUUACAUAUGUAAUGGUUGAUGGAUGGGCCGGUAUCGCUGCUGAAGUUCUAAGGUUGAAGCCGUUGGUCAUGUUCCACAUAAAGAACACUUUCCUGGUCAGAACUGAGCAGGAUCGUCAGCAGGCCAUGGAUCCUGGAAGCUUGGAUUUUGGCACCACUGAACCACGAAUACAACUCUACUUCCUGCUAGGACUAGUAUAUGCUGUUGUCACACCAAUUCUUCUUCCUUUCAUCAUCGUGUUCUUCAGCCUUGCCUAUCUUGUGUUCAGACACCAGAUCAUUAAUGUCUAUAACCAGCAAUACGAGAGUGGCGCACUAUUCUGGCCAGAUGUGCAAACACGACUUAUUGCCGCAUUAAUAGUAUCACAAAUCCUCCUACUGGGACUAUUGAGCACACAGGAAGCAGAGAAGUCUACUGUCGCUCUCCUUCCUCUUCCUGUCCUGACCAUAUGGUUCCACUAUGUUUGCAAGGGUCGGUUUGAACCAGCGUAUGUAAAGUUCCCCUUGCAGGAAGCCAUGGUGAAGGACACACUGCAACGAGCAAAUGACCCAACUAUGAGUUUGAGAGAAUACCUGAAGGAUGCAUAUGUGCACCCGGUCUUCCAGAAGGAUGACAUGUAUGAGCUUAUUGCCAUGGAUGAAGAAGAGAAGAAUCCCACCGUUGCGACCAAGCGUCAAUCGCGCAUGAACACACCAGUAGAAAGCAAGUUCAAUUCCAGUGUUGGCACUAGUGAAGGAGAGUUCAGUCGGAUGCAUCCUGCUUGA